AUCUGAGGGUCAGCAGACUUCAACACUGAACCAUUCAACCAUUAAUUGUGUAUGGUGACACGGUUCACUGAAGUUUCUCAUUGAACAAGUUGCGAAGGUUAACUGGAGCCAAGUCAAAAAGAAGUCAAAAGAUGACAAUUCUUUAGCCCCCAAGUGCCAAGAAGACUGGACUGGUUAACCUUCUUGGUACUUUCAUUUCAAGGGUCUAAAUUAAACCAAGAAAGUUAGAGAUAUUGAUAUGCAUUAGAAGAAGAACAAAAGGGCUGUCUUGCUCCUGAAGAGAUUUUGUUCGU
rnacentral:lncRNA from 13 species